AAAACACAGCAAAUUCCUCAACCUUCAAACAAAAGUAGAAAAUUCCCUUAUGGCAUUACAGUUGAACAAAUGGGAUGGAGAGGUUCGUAAAAAUUAAGUCUCCCUCAACUAUUGUUCCAUUUUAUUGGUGUUAACUACAUUCGACGAAGUUCGAAAUUAAAAAUUAAAGAUUUAAAAGGUGAAUUAAUUUGACUGGUUGAUCAUGAGUUGGAAAGCUCCGGAGAAAGGCAAGUCCGUACCCAAAACUAAUAAGCCAAAGCAGAAAUCAAAUUCUGCAGCCUGGAACGAAUGGAGAGAAGGGCUGAAAAAAAUAAAAAUGACCAAGGAAGAAUACGACAAUUGGUUAUACGGGAAAGAAUCACAUGUUGAAUGGUCCACGGAUGAUCCACCGCGUCCUGUCGCAGGGAAGGCUAACACAGUUAUUGAGAAUCAAUAAAUCGUGGAGGACACAUUCAGAUAAAUUUCAGCACCCUAAUCUUGACUAUUUAAUGAAUAAAGAGGCGACAACGCCAAGUUAGUGCAAUAUA